rnacentral:rRNA from 1 species
AUUGAACGCUGGCGGCAGGCUUAACACAUGCAAGUCGAGCGGGGUGAGGUGCUUCGGUACUGAUCCUAGCGGCGGACGGGUGAGUAAUGCUUAGGAAUCUGCCAUUUAGUGGGGGACAACAGUCCGAAAGGGAUGCUAAUACCGCAUACGUCCUACGGGAGAAAGCAGGGGAUCUUCGGACCUUGCGCUAAAUGAUGAGCCUAAGUCGGAUUAGCUAGUUGGUGGGGUAAAGGCCUACCAAGGCGACGAUCUGUAGCGGGUCUGAGAGGAUGAUCCGCCACACUGGGACUGGGACACGGCCCAGACUCCUACGGGAGGCAGCAGUGGGGAAUAUUGGACAAUGGGCGGAAGCCUGAUCCAGCCAUGCCGCGUGUGUGAAGAAGGCCUUUUGGUUGUAAAGCACUUUAAGCGAGGAGGAGGCUACCUGGAUUAAUACUCUAGGAUAGUGGACGUUACUCGCAGAAUAAGCACCGGCUAACUCUGUGCCAGCCGCCGCCGUAA